GAAAUGCGAUACGUAGUGUGAAUUGCAGAAUUCCGUGAAUCAUCGAAUCUUUGAACGCACAUUGCGCCCGGCAGCAAUCUGCCGGGCAUGCCUGUCCGAGCGUCAUUUCUGCCCUCGAGCGCGGUUCGGCCCCUAGCGGGCCGGCCGCCGCCCGGUGUUGGGGCGCUGCGGGCCCUCGUGCCCGCAGGCCCUGAAAUGAAGUGGCGGUCCCGCCGCGGCGCCCCCUGCGUAGUAGUAAAGCACCUCGCAUCGGGUCCCGGCGGAGGCCAGCCGUCGAACCUCUCUUUUGAUGGUUUGACCUCGGAUCAGGUAGGGUUACCCGCUGAACUUAAGC
rnacentral:misc_RNA from 1 species